UCUGGUGGAGCAAAUGGUUAAAUGUUCAGCUGCUAACUGGAAUGUUGGUGGUUCGAACCCACCCACAGGAG
rnacentral:tRNA from 1 species